rnacentral:piRNA from 4 species
CCUGCUUCUGGGUCGGGGUUUCGUA